rnacentral:rRNA from 1 species
GUAGGUGGCAAGCGUUGUCCGGAAUUAUUGGGGCGUAAAGCGCGCGCAGGCGGUCCUUUAAGUCUGAUGUGAAAGCCCACGGGCUCAACCGUGGAGGGUCAUUGGAAACUGGAGAACUUGAGUACAGAAGAGGAAAGCGGAAUUCCACGUGUAGCGGUGAAAUGCGUAGAGAUGUGGAGGAACACCAGUGGCGAAGGCGGCUUUCUGGUCUGUAACUGACGCUGAGGCGCGAAAGCGUGGGGAGCAGACAGGAUUAGAUACCCUGGUAGUCCACGCCGUAAACGAUGAGUGCUAAGUGUUAGGGGGGUUUCCGCCCCUUAGUGCUGCAGCUAACGCAUUAAGCACUCCGCCUGGGGAGUACGGCCGCAAGGCUG